GCUUAACACAUGCAAGUCGAACGAGAGGACAUGGGAAGGCUUGCUUCCUAUGAAAUCGAGUGGGCAAACGGGUAGAGUAACGCGUAAACAACCUGCCCUUCGGAUGGGGAUACAGCCGGAAACGGCUGCUAAUACCGAAUACGAUCUUUUCGUCGCAUGACGGAAAAGAAGAAAAAGGGUGGCCUCUAUACAAAGCUAUCGCCGAAGGAGGGGUUUUGCGUCUGAUUAGCUGGUUGGAGGGGUAACGGCCCAACAAGGCGAUGAUCAGUAGCCGGUCUGAGAGGAUGAACGGCCACAUUGGGACUGAGACACGGCCCAGACUCCUACGGGAGGCAGCAGUGGGGAAUCUUCCGCAAUGGACGAAAGUCUGACGGAGCAACGCCGCGUGAGUGAAGAAGGUCUUCGGAUUGUAAAGCUCUGUUAUACGGGACGAAAAAGACGGAUGCCAACAGUAUCCGUCCGUGACGGUACCGUAAGAGAAAGCCACGGCUAACUACGUGCCAGCAGCCGCGGUAAAU
rnacentral:rRNA from 1 species